CGUCACGCCACGCCAAGCCGCGCCCCCAUCGGGGGUCAGUCAAGGUCUGCGCCUGCGCCUGCGCCUCCGCUGGACCUGCGGGCCGGCCGCCGGCUUCGGGUGGGAGCCGGGCGCCCGCGGUGAUGGGAAAUACAGUCAUCAGAAUUGACUGCAGAAGAAAGAUCCUAACCUACUACCAGUAUCAAUGGAAAAAACUGGAGUUCUCCAAAAGCUGCCAUCCCCCAAAACACCAAGGCCAGAUAUUA